UACGUAGGGCCCGAGCGUUAUUCGGUAUUAUUGGGCGUAAAGAGCGCGUAGGCCGUUUUGUAAGACAGUGGUUAAAUAUCCGAGCUUAACUCGGGAGCUGCCACUGUGACUGCAAGACUAGACGAUAGCAGGGGCAAGCAGAAUUCUCGGUGUAGGAGUGAAAUCCGUUGAGAUCGAGAGGAAUACCAAUGGCGAAGGCAGCUUGCUAGGCUAUAUGUGACGCUGAGGCGCGAAAGCGUGGGGAGCGAACGGG
rnacentral:rRNA from 1 species